GCGAGAGUGGCGGAAAAGGCAGACGCGCACGGUUGAGGGCCGUGUGCCCGAUAGGGCAUGGGGGUUCAAGUCCCCCCUCUCGCACCA
rnacentral:tRNA from 1 species